rnacentral:rRNA from 1 species
GGGAUGACGUCAAAUCAUCAUGCCCCUUAUGACCUGGGCUACACACGUGCUACAAUGGACGGUACAACGAGUCGCGAAACCGCGAGGUCAAGCUAAUCUCUUAAAGCCGUUCUCAGUUCGGAUUGUAGGCUGCAACUCGCCUACAUGAAGUUGGAAUCGCUAGUAAUCGUGGAUCAGCAUGCCACGGUGAAUACGU